CAGUAGCCGCGGUAAUACGUAGGUGGCAAGCGUUGUCCGGAAUUACUGGGCGUAAAGCGUACGUAGGCGGUUUUGUAAGUUAGAGGUGAAAGCCCGGAGCUCAACUCCGGAAUUGCCUUUAAGACUGCAUCGCUUGAACGUCGGAGAGGUGAGUGGAAUUCCGAGUGUAGAGGUGAAAUUCGUAGAUAUUCGGAAGAACACCAGUGGCGAAGGCGGCUCACUGGACGACUGUUGACGCUGAGGUACGAAAGCGUGGGGAGCAAACAGGAUUAGAUACCCGCGUAGUCCCUGUCUCUUAUAC
rnacentral:rRNA from 1 species